UGGGGAAUAUUGGACAAUGGGCGCAAGCCUGAUCCAGCCAUGCCGCGUGAGUGACGAAGGUCUUCGGAUUGUAAAACUCUUUUGGCGGGGACGAUAAUGACGGUACCCGCAGAAUAAGCCCCGGCUAACUUCGUGCCAGCAGCCGCGGUAAUACGAAGGGGGCUAGCGUUGUUCGGAAUCACUGGGCGUAAAGCGCACGUAGGCGGAUGUGCCAGUCAGGGGUGAAAUCCCGGAGCUCAACUCCGGAACUGCCUCUGAUACAGCACGUCUUGAGUUCGAGAGAGGUGGGUGGAAUUCCUAGUGUAGAGGUGAAAUUCGUAGAUAUUAGGAAGAACACCGGUGGCGAAGGCGGCCCACUGGCUCGAUACUGACGCUGAGGUGCGAAAGCGUGGGGAGCAAACAGGAUUAGAUACCCCCGUAGUCCCUGAGCGGGCUGGCAAGGCGCAU
rnacentral:rRNA from 1 species